rnacentral:lncRNA from 1 species
CCAUACGUGUGGCAUGUGGAAGUUUCAUGGCCAAGGAUCAAACCCCAAGCCACAGUAGUGGCAAUGCCAGAUCUUUAACCCACUGUAACACCAGGGAACUCUGAGCCCCAUUUUCUAUAUAAAACUCCAUGCAAUGUACAUAACUAAACUUGUUUUUCUUUAAUAUGUCUUAUUUCAGUUGAUUCCCAGGCCCUAGACAUUAAAGCUAAGAGGGUAGACGGGAGAAGGUUUUUUCCUCCCCUACACAUCUAAGCUGAGAUAAAAUUAAGAAAGAACACAAGGGAUUUCCAUCAUGGCACAGUGGAAAUGAAUCCAACUAGGAACCAUGAGGUUUCGGGUUCCAUCCUUGGCCUUGCUCAGUGGGCUAAGGAUCUGGUGUUGCCGACAUGCUGUUCAAAGGAAGAGGGGAACUUAAACUAAACACAUAUGAAAAGCCAAAUGCCCAAAGGCAGUGGCCCUGCCUUGGGCAAUGUUGAUCCUGUUUUGGUUUCAAGGAUAACAUACUCAGUGGCUCAGUGGCUCCAGUCUGGGGGUGGGGGAGGCAUUGCUUGAAGAGCCUCCCCUGCUUUAACCACACUUGACAUUGAUCAAAUACCAUUUAACAGAAGGUUCUGUGUAUCGCACUAUGAUGUAUUCCAAAUAGAUCUUGCCUGGAAGGAACUUCCAGUGUGGCCGUCUCAAAUUUGGGAUGCAUUUUUCAUUAGAAAAAGAAUGUCACCCAUGUGACCACUUUCUCAACCCAACGACAAUGAUCUUUCUUAAGACUCCAAAAAACAGGGAGAGCUUUCCAAAACCAGAAGUGGAAAAUGUGCAAAGGAUUGUCUUCAAAAUUUGUUAAUUUAUACGAAAAGACAUAAAAAUUAUUUUAAAAAAUCAAGUUGGUUUUAUGGCUUCUCUGUACCAAAAACAAUAAAUUUAAUUGAGGCUUGGGGCUGCCCAGGACAUUUCAAAUCAUAUGGUUAGUGGAUGCAGGAUGCAGUUUUAAUAGCAUAUAUUGGCUUUGUUUGUUUUUUGCUAAGUAAAGCAAUAUGGGGUACUGGUAGUAACUAAAAAUGACUAGAAAAUAGGAAGAUGAGACAAGAGUAGAAACUGCAGAUUCUAGAAGGAAUUGUGUUGUUUUUCAGCCUUGGCAGCUAUUUCUCCCAGCAAGUGACAUCUGAUCCUUAUCUACAGGCCCAGCCCCACCUCCAGUCUAGGAAGCUCUUAAAUAGAAGUGUUUGGGUCCUUUGAAGUGGCCUUGACAGGUUCUGUCCUGCAGCCACACAGACCUAAGGGAGGGACUAGAGUUCAAGGUCUAUAAACGAGACCCACAUGGCUCUGGCCAGUUCCCUUCUCUGAGCCCAAGUUUCCUGCAGAUGUCCUUCUCCAUCAGCUGCCAAUCCUGCUGGCUUUGAGGACCGCCUCCACUGGGGUCCCUGAUGUCAUGCUCUGCUUGCCUGUGGGAGCAUCCUGGUCAGGCCCACCCACUCACCUCAUGCUGAGCUCCAGCCCGUACUCUUUGAUCCUUCAGAUGCUCUGCCCUGGACUCCACACAAACCUCAGCCCUACACCAGAUCCGGGACU